rnacentral:rRNA from 1 species
AGCUCCAGUGCCGUAUAUUAAAAUUGUUGCGGUUAAAAAGCUCGUAGUUGGAUUUCUGCCGAGGACGACCGGUCCGCCCUCUGGGUGAGCAUCUGGAUCGGCCUGGGCAUCUUCUUGGGGAACGUAGCUGCACUUGACUGUGUGGUGCGGUGUCCAAGGCUUUUACUUUGAGGAAAUUAGAAUGUUUCAAGCAGGCGCACGCCUUGUACACAUUAGAAUGGAAUAAUAAGAUAGGACCCGGUUCUAUUUUGUUGGUUUCUAAAGUUGGGAUAAUGAUUAAUAGGGAUAGUUGGGGGCAUUCGUAUUUAACUGUCAGAGGUGAAAUUCUUGGAUUUGUUAAAGACGGACGACUGCGAAAGCAUUUGCCAAGGAUGUUUUCAUUGAU